rnacentral:rRNA from 1 species
UACGUAGGGGGCGAGCGUUGUCCGAAGUUACUGGGCGUAAAGCGCGCGUAGGCGGUUUCUUAAGUCUGGUGUGAAAGGUUCAGGGCUCAACCCGAACAGUGCACUGGAUACUGGGAGACUUGAGUAUGGGAGAGGAGAGCGGAAUUCCUGGUGUAGCGGUGAAAUGCGUAGAUAUCAGGAGGAACACCGGUGGCGAAGGCGGGUCUCUGGGCCGAUACUGACGCUGAGGAGCGAAAGCGUGGGGAGCGAACAGG